rnacentral:lncRNA from 1 species
UUUUUUUUACAAGGUGUCCUAUUCUAGACUAAUCCUUGGGUCUGUGAUCCGGCCCCUCUUCACACAGUCCGGUUAAUCGCAGGAUGUGCCUCCAACUGCCCUCUUUUGUUAUAUCCACUCAACUUCGUGAAUAAGAGACAAAUCUCUAUCAUCUUUUAAUUAAAAUAUUAUAUAAGAAGAGUCCUUCAUGGUCCUCAAUCUUUUUGGACAGUCUCGUUUAAGAUAUUUUUCAAAUACGAAAAUGACAAGCAAUAAAAAAUUGCACAACUAAACAAAUUUUGAUCAUGGACGCAAAGAAGGAAAUAAAAAAUUAAUUUCACCACAUUAUAUUACAUCAUAGUGCACGUUCAAAACUAUUUAACACGGGGUGUGACAAAUGAUGAAAGCUUUAUCACAUCUUUACAAUGGAAUUGACACACUCCAAGAUCAACACAUCCCUAGUGGUGAUGGUGCAGGCAUUCGACCGGAGCGACCGGGAAUCUCGAGGUAUCUUUGCAAUAGUCGUAAACCAUGUGAUUGGCCCGAACCCACUGAAGCUGGUGGCUCUGGUGGAGGCUCAGUUCCGACAUUGUUGGCUCAUCCCACCAAUACCCUUUCUCGCCACCAGUGGCGCUACAUCGCUUGAUGUUAUCGACAGCUGCCACUACCUCAGGACACUCACAAGCAUCGAUCUCGAAUCCCGUGUAGCUUGCAAUGAAAGGGGCAUGUGACCAAUCAGUCUUCACUCUCCCACCUUGUGUGGCCCAAUCAUCAGCAUUCCAUAUCGAGCUGUAAACUCCCAUGGAUUGGUCUUUAGGAUAUGGAAUCCCCUUGUGCUCCAAAUUCGAAUGUACACGAACCGGCGUCAAUUAUCUUAACUAAUAGAAUAUUGACUUUGGAUGGUGCCUAGGCCUUAUGAAUGAAUAUUAACUAUUCGAUUGGGAAUUAUUUGUUGAGCAAUAAUGUAAUGGCAAUCAUUUCUAGCUGCAUAUUUACCUUAUUCUCAAUGGGCAAUUAUUGAAUAUUUUUGAAUGAAAUAUUUUUUUAUUGGACAUAUUUAGUACAUUCCACUUCACGUGAUUAUAUAGAAUUAUUGAAGAGAUGCAUGUAAUAAAAUUGGUUGACUGUCACACCAUAUUGAAUAUGCAAUAUUGCCUAUUUUGGCUGGAUUAUAGCUUCUUUCAAAGAUUAAUUAGUACAGAUGAUUUGAUAGCAUUAAUAAAGAGAUGGAUGGCCCUUCAUGGGGUGGUCGAGUUGGUGGAAUAAGUGAGCGCUUAGAUCUUUGGUUACGAGUUCGAUUCCCCUUACCAACACUUUCUCGAUCGAAUCUGUUACACCGAACUUGCAGAGUGCGAUUUACCUGACUGACAGGUUCUCCUGUCAUCCAAAAAAAUAAAGGGAUGGAUGUUAUAACAGUUAUUAAUUAACACGUUUAAUUCAUUUCACUCUAUGUAAAAACCAAAUCAAUAUAAAUAAUACAGUUGGUUUACACUAAUUGGCAAUUAAAUCUACUUUAAUUAUUAUGCUUGGCAUCAACCGAUAUUUGGUGGGGGUGGAUUUUACUUUUUGUGAUUAGGAAUUGUGGAGAUAAAUAUUUGGUAAUUGAGGUGCUAUGAAACUUAAAAUUCUGCUCUCUUUUAGAAGAUUGGAAGGUAAUUUUGAUUCACUUAAAUAAUUUAUCUACUCUACAAUAAAGAUUGGAAGGUAGAUUUUGUUCACAAAGAAUUUCAAGGAACUUAUUCCAAGUAAAUUUACAUUAAGAUUUGAAAUGACAAAUAUUAAAAUUAGAGUUUGUGUUCAAAAGUUUGUGAAAGAUGUCAAUUAUAGUUAUUUGUUCCUAUCAGAAACAUGAACGAAGAUAACAGUAAUCAGAGUCACUAAAGGAUUCAAUAUUUAAAUAGAGAAUCUGUUUUGCCAUGAAAUGAAUAUAUUUAUAUAUUUCUUAUUCAUAUUUAUGAAAAGACUAUCAUAAGAAUUGGUUCACGUAAAAAUGGACAUAUUGAUAAGUUAUCGUAAGAUUACAUAUAGAAUAUUAGAGAAAAUUAUUCAUGUCUAAGUUAUUUUGGUUAUAAAUAAAUAAGGUCAGGUGAUUUCUAGGCCAUCGACCAAUAUCAUGGACUACUCAAAAGAAUAUCAGAUGGAUUUCAAGCAAGACAAGGAGAUCGGUAGAAUACUACAAACAGAAAGUGUUCCUAAUAAAAAAAUAAAUUUGGGUAAUCGAUACAUGUUUUGUUAAAUCACCUAUAAGAACCAUAAUACAAUCCAACGUGCCCCAUGAAAAGUAAUGAAUUUCAAUACUUAUAAAUAAUUAUAAGCAAGCCCAAACAUGUGUUAAAACCAUCCAAAGGUGAGUAACUCCACUGUGGCAUGGAAAGGCUAAUCCAUGUCCCUUCCCUAGCCCCACCUAAAAUUUAAGAGAAAAAUUCAUAAUUAAGAGAUUAAGUUUCACUUAUUUCAAAAAAUAUUAAUAAUGGUUUCAAAUUUUAAAAAUCAGAUACUUGUUAAAAUUUAUUUAUGAUUUACUUAAUUAAUUAAUUAUACAUUUCAUUAAUUAAAUAUAUUAAUGUCAUAAAUCUAUACAAUUUGGUCACAAAUUAACGAUUUAGUUAGUCACAUUAUUUUUCAUUCACAAAUCAGAAGUUUAUAUGUUACAAAUUAUUAUAUGGUCACAAUUCAAAAAUUUUAUAGUUCAAAGUUUUUUUUAUUAGUCAUAAAUCACAAAUAUGAUAAGUCACAACCAUUAGACAAUCACAAAUUAUCUCACAAAUUAACAUUUUUAGAUCACACAUUAUUUUUUUUUUUUUUAUCACAAUUUAUCUUUCUCAUUGGUUACAUAUUGUUUAUUAGUCAUGGACCAUUGCCAACAUAUACAACCACACUUCAUCACUGCCUCCGGUAGCACCAUUACCAACGUUGCCACCAGAACCACCAUCACAACUCUCAACAGCAACACCAUUGUGACCAUCACCCACUAUCGCAUCGCACAGAGCACUAUCGUUAAACACCACCACCGCACAACAACCAGUUAGCAUCACUAGAGCCACCACCACGUUGACAUCACCAUCACAGACAACACAUCGUACCCACAACACCACCACCACCUAACCAUUGCACUAUACCACAUACAGCACCACAAACAUGCAUCCUAACCAGAUCCAAUCACCACCACCACCACCACAUCAUCAAAACCACCGUCGCUAAAACCACCACCACAGCCAUAUAUCACCAUAUCUAAUCGACUAAGAGCACUGUGACAUUAUCCAAAAACCAGAUACCAAUGACUGUGGUCGUAGCGACAUCAUCACGACAAAUGCAAAACACGAACGCUAUCAAAUGAUGCUGCGAACCACAACACCAUUAGUAGCGGCACCCGCGCAUGAUAGCUCCUACGAACGGCGAACAAUAUUGCCAUGUGAAGUUCGGUAGAGAGACGAUUUCGAUGCGUAUUGAAAUAUAAAGACGACAUCAUCACCAUAUCGGACAACAGCAGAUCACAGCAACGUCAUCUAGAUACUCUCUAGCGACGGCUUACGAUAGUUGCAAUAGAGAGGAUAGAAGAUGGGAUAGAGAACGAAAAUUAUUAGGGUUUGGGAGUGGUUGGGUAUGGUUAGGUGGGAUUAACAUAUAUAUUUAAUUUUGUAGUAUUUAAAAUUUUUAUUAUCAUCUGAUUUUUAAAAAGAAAACUUGUAAAUAUUAAUUUUGAAUUGCGAAGUUUAGAACUCUUGUUGGCUGUAAUUUCCACAAAAAUUAGCACGUUGUGGAGACAGCCUUUCUUUUGGGCUGUGUCAUAAUGGGCCCACUGACCUUUUACAGUCCCGUGAAAUGGCCCCGUGAACGGGGCACUAUAGCCCACUUGAUUUAAUAAAUUAAACCUCAAAAUAAUCACUAUUCUCCCUUUUUGUGGAUGCGUAUAGGGAAUACAUGGAUGGUAAAAAAUUCUUCUCUCAAAAAUUGGAGACAGGAUUUCUCAACUAAUCGAGAUGUCGAGGCAGGGACAAAAUCCCUCAACCGGUGGUAAAAAUCGAGGUCAACAAAAGUAUCUUCCGUUUUCUUAUCCAUGAUAUAAUUAUGCAAGAGGUCAAUCGAUAGGACCCUCUUUUGUUAUAUCCACUCAACUCCGUGAAUAAGAGACAAAUCUCUAUCAUCUUUUAAUUAAAAUAUUAUAUAAGAAGAGUCCUUCAUGGUCCUCAAUCUUUUUGGACAGUCUCGUUUAAGAUAUUUUUCAAAUACGAAAAUGACAAGCAAUAAAAAAUUGCACAACUAAACAAAUUUUGAUCAUGGACGCAAAGAAGGAAAUAAAAAAUUAAUUUCACCACAUUAUAUUACAUCAUAGUGCACGUUCAAAACUAUUUAACACGGGGUGUGACAAAUGAUGAAAGCUUUAUCACAUCUUUACAAUGGAAUUGACACACUCCAAGAUCAACACAUCCCUAGUGGUGAUGGUGCAGGCAUUCGACCGGAGCGACCGGGAAUCUCGAGGUAUCUUUGCAAUAGUCGUAAACCAUGUGAUUGGCCCGAACCCACUGAAGCUGGUGGCUCUGGUGGAGGCUCAGUUCCGACAUUGUUGGCUCAUCCCACCAAUACCCUUUCUCGCCACCAGCGGCGCUACAUCGCUUGAUGUUAUCGACAGCUGCCACUACCUCAGGACACUCACAAGCAUCGAUCUCGAAUCCCGUGUAGCUUGCAAUGAAAGGGGCAUGUGACCAAUCAGUCUUCACUCUCCCACCUUGUGUGGCCCAAUCAUCAGCAUUCCAUAUCGAGCUGUAAACUCCCAUGGAUUGGUCUUUAGGAUAUGGAAUCCCCUUGUGCUCCAAAUUCGAAUGUACACGAACCGGCGUCUCAUCGACCAAGAAUCUAAACAAAAACACAUUACACAAACUUCUAAGAUAAUCAUUCGAUAAUCUUUAACCGAAUACACGAGUAAAAUUGAUUUUCGACCAAAUUAAAAUGAAGAAUGGUGCUUACACAACUUGGCGACGAUUCCAGAGAAGUGAGUACGAAUGAAAAUCCUUAGUAGGGUCAAACCAGAGGUUCAAUCUUUGUUCCCUAUUGCCAACUCCAUUGACAUAUACAUUGGUCUGUACUAGGUAAGGUUCCCCUGUGGUGUUGCCCAGGAACUCAAAAUCAAAUUCAUUGUGAUAUGGGCCCUCUGAUGACAUCUGAUUACAUACAUAUAACAAUAUUAUGAUCAGAUCAGUCUUUUUGAUUAAGAGAUAAAUGAAGUUCUAUACAAAAAAGUAGGUUUAAAUAAGGAAAAUUUCAGCUGUGUCAAAUUGAAAUAUUUUUCUUUCUGACAGUCUAAAUAAAUGCAUUGAACGAAACUGGGCAAUUAUAAAGAUAUUUGUUCAAUCUUGCAAGGAAAUACAGUAAAAAUGAGUGAAAAUAUACAGUGAAAUAAAUGAAAAUGGGUGAGAAAUGAAGAAGUUUACAUAGAAAGCAGUGACAGUUCCAGCAGAAUCACCCUCUACUAGCUUGAUCUUAAUACUGACUUUCCCAAACAUAUAUUUGCUCUUUGAUGAAAACCCAGCUCCUGCAUUGCAAAAAUAAGAAACUUAUUCUCUUAAAAGUAGAAAAUCAGAAAAUAUGACUAACAGUGAGUAUCAACACUUAAAAUUGAGAAAUUGCAAGAAAUUUUACAUGAUGAGAACUUUCAACUUGAAAACUUUCUGUAUAACCCUUUUUUGACAAAAAAAAAAAAAACACCUAAAAACGAAUGGGUUUCAUACCAGAAUAGUUGUCGAGUUUCAUCUUCAUAAGCUCUCCUUCAUAGGCAAAAUGGUCAAGUGCCCAGCUGGGCUGAAAGAGCUCAUCAAAUCUUGAUGAACUCACAGAACCCACCAUUGCAAAAGCAAUGAAAACUCCCAAAACCAAAGACCCCAUUGAAAUUGGAACAGAAGACGCCAUUGAUUGAAAGAGAGAGAGAGAGAGAGAGAGAGAGAGAGAAGAGAGACUUCUACUUCUCUGGUGAAAAGUAAUGAAUUUCAAUACUUAUAAAUAAUUAUAAGCAAGCCCAAACACGUGUUAAAACCAUCCAAAGGUGAGUAACUCCACUGUGGCAUGGAAAGGCUAAUCCAUGUCCCUUCCCUAGCCCCACCUAAAAUUUAAGAGAAAAAUUCGUAAUUAAGAGGUCAAGUUUCACUUAUUUCAAAAAAUAUUAAUAACGGUUUUAAAUUUUAAAAAUCAGAUACUUGUUAAAAUUUAUUUAUGAUUUAAUUAAUUAAUUAAUUAUAGAUUUCAUUAAUUAAAUAUAUUAAUGUCAUAAAUCUAUACAAUUUGGUCACAAAUUAACGAUUUAGUUAGUCACAUUAUUUUUCAUUCACAAAUCAGAAGUUUAUAUGUUACAAAUUAUUAUAUGGUCACAAUUCAAAAAUUUUAUAGUUCAAAGUUCUUUUUAUUAGUCAUAAAUCACAAAUAUGAUAAGUCACAACCAUUAGACAAUCACAAAUUAUCUCACAAAUUAACAUUUUUAGAUCACACAUUAUUUUUUUUUUUUUUAUCACAAUUUAUCUUUCUCAUUGGUUACAUAUUGUUUAUUAGUCAUGGACCAUUGCCAACAUAUACAACCACACUUCAUCACUGCCUCCGGUAGCACCAUUACCAACGUUGCCACCAGAACCACCAUCACAACUCUCAACAGCAACACCAUUGUGACCAUCACCCACUAUCGCAUCGCACAGAGCACUAUCGUUAAACACCACCACCGCACAACAACCAGUUAGCAUCACUAGAGCCACCACCACGUUGACAUCACCAUCACAGACAACACAUCGUACCCACAACACCACCACCACCUAACCAUUGCACUAUACCACAUACAGCACCACAAACAUGCAUCCUAACCAGAUCCAAUCACCACCACCACCACCACAUCAUCAAAACCACCGUCGCUAAAACCACCACCACAGCCAUAUAUCACCAUAUCUAAUCGACUAAGAGCACUGUGACAUUAUCCAAAAACCAGAUACCAAUGACUGUGGUCGUAGCGACAUCAUCACGACAAAUGCAAAACACGAACGCUAUCAAAUGAUGCUGCGAACCACAACACCAUUAGUAGCGGCACCCGCGCAUGAUAGCUCCUACGAACGGCGAACAAUAUUGCCAUGUGAAGUUCGGUAGAGAGACGAUUUCGAUGCGUAUUGAAAUAUAAAGACGACAUCAUCACCAUAUCGGACAACAGCAGAUCACAGCAACGUCAUCUAGAUACUCUCUAGCGACGGCUUACGAUAGUUGCAAUAGAGAGGAUAGAAGAUGGGAUAGAGAACGAAAAUUAUUAGGGUUUGGGAGUGGUUGGGUAUGGUUAGGUGGGAUUAACAUAUAUAUUUAAUUUUGUAGUAUUUAAAAUUUUUAUUAUCAUCUGAUUUUUAAAAAGAAAACUUGUAAAUAUUAAUUUUGAAUUGCGAAGUUUAGAACUCUUGUUGGCUGUAAUUUCCACAAAAAUUAGCACGUUGUGGAGACAGCCUUUCUUUUGGGCUGUGUCAUAAUGGGCCCACUGACCUUUUACAGUCCCGUGAAAUGGCCCCGUGAACGGGGCACUAUAGCCCACUUGAUUUAAUAAAUUAAACCUCAAAAUAAUCACUAUUCUCCCUUUUUGUGGAUGCGUAUAGGGAAUACAUGGAUGGUAAAAAAUUCUUCUCUCAAAAAUUGGAGACAGGAUUUCUCAACUAAUCGAGAUGUCGAGGCAGGGACAAAAUCCCUCAACCGGUGGUAAAAAUCGAGGUCAACAAAAGUAUCUUCCGUUUUCUUAUCCAUGAUAUAAUUAUGCAAGAGGUCAAUCGAUAGGACCCUCUUUUGUUAUAUCCACUCAACUCCGUGAAUAAGAGACAAAUCUCUAUCAUCUUUUAAUUAAAAUAUUAUAUAAGAAGAGUCCUUCAUGGUCCUCAAUCUUUUUGGACAGUCUCGUUUAAGAUAUUUUUCAAAUACGAAAAUGACAAGCAAUAAAAAAUUGCACAACUAAACAAAUUUUGAUCAUGGACGCAAAGAAGGAAAUAAAAAAUUAAUUUCACCACAUUAUAUUACAUCAUAGUGCACGUUCAAAACUAUUUAACACGGGGUGUGACAAAUGAUGAAAGCUUUAUCACAUCUUUACAAUGGAAUUGACACACUCCAAGAUCAACACAUCCCUAGUGGUGAUGGUGCAGGCAUUCGACCGGAGCGACCGGGAAUCUCGAGGUAUCUUUGCAAUAGUCGUAAACCAUGUGAUUGGCCCGAACCCACUGAAGCUGGUGGCUCUGGUGGAGGCUCAGUUCCGACAUUGUUGGCUCAUCCCACCAAUACCCUUUCUCGCCACCAGCGGCGCUACAUCGCUUGAUGUUAUCGACAGCUGCCACUACCUCAGGACACUCACAAGCAUCGAUCUCGAAUCCCGUGUAGCUUGCAAUGAAAGGGG